UUUAGAGCAGGGUAUGUGCGUGCGUGCGUGUGCGCGCGUAUGUGCACGUGCCUGCGUGCGUGCGUGCAUAUAUAUGAGCUUGAGCGCUGCUGGGGCGCGGCCGCGGCUUCAGAGCUUCCUGAAGAGAGCGUGGGAGGGCAGUGGAGACUUUGAAUUCAAGAGCUAUGUAAUUUGCAGAACAUUUAUGUUGGAGAAACUGGUGUAAGAGAUGAAGACUUCUCAUUUAAUAAUUACUAUUAAUCAUGGCACCAGUCUUUUACUUUAUAAUCAAAAGUACCUGAAGAUAGAACAAGUUGUGCUGAAAUAUUUUUAUUUUGUAUGAUUAAUGGACCGAAGGCCAUUGGCAAAGGACGCUGUCAGUUAUCAUGGGACAAAUAACACAAACAAAUGGCUUCUGAGCAGAGCUAGGUGUCCAAGGGGCCAGUAUGCUUGCUAGUGGAGAAGACGGAAAGGCCAGAUACUUUCUGGGUACAAAGAAGUGCUGAAUAAAUCGCAUGAAUUUAUCAGGAUCAAGUCCAAAAGGAUCUGUUAAGUGAAAUGGAUAAGGAUUGAGCUCAUAGUCUAAGGACUUAGGUUCUGGUCCCAAUUCUGUUGUACAUUUCACUCGCCAUCUCCAGUCCUUCAUUUUAUCUUCUAUAACGUAAGAAAGGUAGAUUAAGGGGUGCCUGGGUGGCUCAGUUGUUUGGGCAUCUGACUUCGGCUCAGGUCAUGGUCUCGGGGUUUGUGGGUUUGGACCC